AACACACGUUUUACUGUCUAUGGAAAACACAAGCAUCAAAAUAUUAGAGGCUUUAAAAUGAUGAAUUUGGGUGAUGCCCUGUUGUGUGAGCUGGAGAAUGGCAAGCCUAAGCUUGUGCUGGCUAAAUAUGGUAAGAACAUGAACUCCAUCACUUCAUUUAAUGUCAGUUUUGAUGUAUGCACACUUCAGAGUCUCAGUGGAAAGAUCAGUCCUCCGCCUGUGAAUGAGACCGUAAGAUACAUGCACAGCUCCUACAAACACUCCAAGUGACAAGAAAAUCCCAUCAAGGGGAGGUAGAAGCAUCUGAAAAGAGCCACAUCAGACAGCAUGUGUCCCCUACACCGAAAGAAGUCAGAGCAGACCCUUAUGCACAGACCUACAGGAACCACAGACUCAAAACAAGGCCAGAGUGGAACACACAGAGACCCAGUAAAGCAUUCGUCCCGGCGUCUGACACUGCUGCCACGAGCAAACACACUUAAGCAUAAACCUCCAGCACAGAGACUCAGGACGUCUGCACAACUACAGGUGCAGCCUCUCUUCACCAGUCAGAGUAUUCAGCAGUAAUUACACAGGGCUGGGAACCAUUUAUAAAAAAUAAAAAUAAAAACAUGCUACAAAUAAAGUUUGUUUUCUUUUAGUAGCCAAGACUUGUCAAGAACUAAAAUAAUUCAUGUAAUUGGAACCAGAACCAUUGUUAGAUUCGUUGCAAUACCCAUCCUUAUUAAUGCAUGUAGUGUAAAUGCUGAUGAAUGCAUUUCAGCGUGUUG